AAUCCAUAGGUUAAUGAGGCGAACCGGGGGAACUGAAACAUCUAAGUACCCCGAGGAAAAGAAAUCAACCGAGAUUCCCCCAGUAGCGGCGAGCGAACGGGGAGGAGCCCAGAGCCUGAAUCAGCAUGUGUGUUAGUGGAAGCGUCUGGAAAGGCGCGCGAUACAGGGUGACAGCCCCGUACACAAAAGCGCAUGUGCUGUGAGCUCGAUGAGUAGGGCGGGACACGUGGUAUCCUGUCUGAAUAUGGGGGGACCAUCCUCCAAGGCUAAAUACUCCUGACUGACCGAUAGUGAACCAGUACCGUGAGGGAAAGGCGAAAAGAACCCCGGCGAGGGGAGUGAAAAAGAACCUGAAACCGUGUACGUACAAGCAGUGGGAGCACCCUUUGGGGUGUGACUGCGUACCUUUUGUAUAAUGGGUCAGCGACUUAUAUUCUGUAGCAAGGUUAACCGUAUAGGGGAGCCGGAGGGAAACCGAGUCUUAACCGGGCGUUAAGUUGCAGGGUAUAGACCCGAAACCCGGUGAUCUAGCCAUGGGCAGGUUGAAGGUUGGGUAACACUAACUGGAGGACCGAACCGACUAAUGUUGAAAAAUUAGCGGAUGACCUGUGGCUGGGGGUGAAAGGCCAAUCAAACCGGGAGAUAGCUGGUUCUCCCCGAAAGCUAUUUAGGUAGCGCCUCGUGAAUUCAUCUCCGGGGGUAGAGCACUGUUUCGGCUAGGGGGCCAUCCCGGCUUACCAACCCGAUGCAAACUGCGAAUACCGGAGAAUGUUAUCACGGGAGACACACGGCGGGUGCUAACGUCCGUCGUGAAGAGGGAAACAACCCAGACCGCCAGCUAAGGUCCCAAAGUCAUGGUUAAGUGGGAAACGAUGUGGGAAGGCCCAGACAGCCAGGAUGUUGGCUUAGAAGCAGCCAUCAUUUAAAGAAAGCGUAAUAGCUCACUGGUCGAGUCGGCCUGCGCGGAAGAUGUAACGGGGCUAAACCAUGCACCGAAGCUGCG
rnacentral:rRNA from 1 species